rnacentral:rRNA from 1 species
AACGACUGCUAAUACCGCAUAACGUCUACGGACCAAAGGGGGGGAUCUUCGGACCUCUCGCUCAUUGAUUAGCCCAAGUGAGAUUAGCUAGUUGGUAAGGUAAUGGCUUACCAAGGCGACGAUCUCUAGCUGGUUUGAGAGGAUGAUCAGCCACACUGGGACUGAGACACGGCCCAGACUCCUACGGGAGGCAGCAGUGGGGAAUAUUGCACAAUGGGCGAAAGCCUGAUGCAGCCAUGCCGCGUGCGUGAAGAAAGCCCUUCGGGUUGUAAAGCACUUUCAGUUGUGAGGAGAGGGAUGUAGUUAAUAGCUGCAUUCUGUGACGUUAACAACAGAAGAAGCACCGGCUAACUUCGUGCCAGCAGCCGCGGUAAUACGAGGGGUGCAAGCGUUAAUCGGAAUUACUGGGCGUAAAGCGUUCGUAGGCGGUCUAUUAAGCAAGAUGUGAAAGCCCAGGGCUCAACCUUGGAACUGCAUUUUGAACUGGUAGACUAGAGUACUGUAGAGGGUGGUGGAAUUUCCAGUGUAGCGGUGAAAUGCGUAGAGAUUGGAAGGAACAUCAGUGGCGAAGGCGGCCACCUGGACAGAUACUGACGCUGAGGAACGAAAGCGUGGGGAGCGAACAGGAUUGGAUACCCUGGUAGUCCACGCCGUAAACGAUGUCAACUAGCCGUUUGUGUCCUCGAGACGUGAGUGGCGCAGCUAACGCACUAAGUUGACCGCCUGGGGAGUACGGCCGCAAGGUUAAAACUCAAAUGAAUUGACGGGGGCCCGCACAAGCGGUGGAGCAUGUGGUUUAAUUCGAUGCAACGCGAAGAACCUUACCAUCCCUUGACAUCCAGAGAAGCGACUAGAGAUAGACGUGUGCCUUCGGGAACUCUGUGACAGGUGCUGCAUGGCUGUCGUCAGCUCGUGUUGUGAAAUGUUGGGUUAAGUCCCGCAACGAGCGCAACCCCUAUCCUUAUUUGCCAGCGCGUUAUGGCGGGAACUCUAAGGAGACUGCCGGUGAUAAACCGGAGGAAGGUGGGGACGACGUCAAGUCAUCAUGGCCCUUACGGGAUGGGCUACACACGUGCUACAAUGGCAGGUACAGAGGGCAGCAAUACCGCGAGGUGGAGCGAAUCCCACAAAGCUUGUCGUAGUCCGGAUUGGAGUCUGCAACUCGACUCCAUGAAGUCGGAAUCGCUAGUAAUCGUAGAUCAGAAUGCUACGGUGAAUACGUUCCCGGGCCUUGUACACAC